UAUUUAGGUAGUGCCUCGAGUAUGAGACUGAUGGGGGUAAAGCACUGUUAUGGCUAGGGGGUUAUUGCAACUUACCAACCCAUGGCAAACUAAGAAUACCAUCAAGUUGCUCCUCGGGAGACAGACAUCGGGUGCUAACGUCCGGUGUCAAGAGGGAAACAACCCAGACCGCCAGCUAAGGUCCCAAAUGAUAGAUUAAGUGGUAAACGAAGUGGGAAGGCACAGACAGCCAGGAUGUUGGCUUAGAAGCAGCCAUCAUUUAAAGAAAGCGUAAUAGCUCACUGGUCGAGUCUUCCUGCGCGGAAGAUGUAACGGGGCUCAAAUCUAUAACCGAAGCUGCGGAUAUACUUUUGUAUAUGGUAGGGGAGCGUUCUGUAGGCCUGUGAAGGUGACUUGUAAAGGUUGCUGGAGGUAUCAGAAGUGCGAAUGUUGACAUGAGUAGCGAUAAAGUGGGUGAAAAGCCCGCUCGCCGAAAGCCCAAGGUUUCCUACGCAACGUUCAUCGGCGUAGGGUGAGUCGGCCCCUAAGGCGAGGCAGAAAUGCGUAGUCGAUGGGAAACAGGUUAAUAUUCCUGUACUUUGAUUCAAUGCGAUGUGGGGACGGAGAAGGUUAGGUUAGCAAACUGUUGGAAUAGUUUGUUUAAGCCAGUAGGUGGAAAGAGUAGGCAAAUCCGCUCUUUCUUAACACCGAGACGUGAUGACGAGUGUCUACGGACAUGAAGUGACCAAUACCACGCUUCCAGGAAAAGCCACUAAGCUUCAGUUGAAUCAGAACCGUACCGCAAACCGACACAGGUGGGCAGGAUGAGAAUUCUAAGGCGCUUGAGAGAACUCGGGAGAAGGAACUCGGCAAAUUGAUACCGUAACUUCGGGAGAAGGUAUGCCCUCUAAUGUUAAGGACUUGCUCCGUAAGCAUCUGAGGGUCGCAGAGAAUCGGUGGCUGCGACUGUUUAUUAAAAACACAGCACUCUGCUAACACGAAAGUGGACGUAUAGGGUGUGACGCCUGCCCGGUGCUGGAAGGUUAAUUGAAGAUGUGCAAGCAUCGGAUCGAAGCCCCAGUAAACGGCGGCCGUAACUAUAACGGUCCUAAGGUAGCGAAAUUCCUUGUCGGGUAAGUUCCGACCCGCACGAAUGGCGUAACGAUGGCCACACUGUCUCCUCCCGAGACUCAGCGAAGUUGAAAUGGUUGUGAAGAUGCAAUCUCCCCGCUGCUAGACGGAAAGACCCCGUGAACCUUUACUGUAGCUUUGCAUUGGACUUUGAAGUCACUUGUGUAGGAUAGGUGGGAGGCUUUGAAGCAGAGA
rnacentral:rRNA from 1 species